ensembl:snRNA U6 U6 spliceosomal RNA
GUGCUUGCUUUGGCAGCACAUGUACUAAAAUUGGAAUGAUGCAGAGAAGACUAGCAUGGCCCAUGUGCAAGGAUGACACACAAAUUAAUGAAGCUUUCCAUGUUUUU